rnacentral:rRNA from 1 species
GACGAACGCUGGCGGCGCGCUUAACACAUGCAAGUCGAGCGAGAACCAGCCCUUCGGGGCUGGGGAAAGCGGCGAACGGGUGAGUAACACGUGGGUAAUCUGCCCUCGGCACCGGAAUAGCCCGGGGAAACCCGGAUUAAUGCCGGAUGGCCUCUCGAGCUCUCGAGCUCGUGAGAAAAGGUAGCUUCGGCCUCCGGCCGAGGAUGAGCCCGCGGUCGAUUAGCUUGUUGGUGAGGUAAUGGCNCACCAAGGCGACGAUCGAUAGCUGGUCUGAGAGGACGAUCAGCCACACUGGGACUGAGACACGGCCCAGACUCCUACGGGAGGCAGCAGUGGGGAAUCUUGCGCAAUGGGCGGAAGCCUGACGCAGCAACGCCGCGUGGGGAUGACG